rnacentral:rRNA from 1 species
GAUGAACGCUGGCGGCGUGCCUAAUACAUGCAAGUCGAACGCGCAGCGAAAGGUGCUUGCACCUUUCAAGCGAGUGGCGAACGGGUGAGUAACACGUGGAUAACCUGCCUCAAGGCUGGGGAUAACAUUUGGAAACAGAUGCUAAUACCGAAUAAAACUUAGUAUCGCAUGAUACAAAGUUAAAAGGCGCUACGGCGUCACCUAGAGAUGGAUCCGCGGUGCAUUAGUUAGUUGGUGGGGUAAAGGCUUACCAAGACGAUGAUGCAUAGCCGAGUUGAGGGACUGAUCGGCCACAUUGGGACUGAGACACGGCCCAAACGCCUACGGGAGGCUGCAGUAGGGAAUCUUCCACAAUGGGCGCAAGUCUGAUGGAGCAACGCCGCGUGUGUGAUGAAGGCUUUCGGGUCGUAAAGCACUGUUGUAUGGGAAGAAAUGCUAAAAUAGGGAAUGAUUUUAGUUUGACGGUACCAUACCAGAAAGGGACGGCUAAAUACGUGCCAGCCACCGCCGUAA